AUCGAUACUCCACGUUAAAUUUCACUUCAGUUCAAAACUUAUAUACCGCCAUCUCAAGAAUUAAUUCAUAAAUAUUUUCCUAAUAAAUAAUAAAAAGUUAGGUCAAGGUAUAAUCCAUAUUCAAGAAUGAGAUGAAUUACAUUAAAUAUUAAUUAAAGACUAUAAGUAAAUUAUUCAUACAAAUAAGAAUUUAAAAGAAAUAUAAAAAUAAUAAUUUAAUAUGAAAAAGAUUAUAAAUGUGUACACAUCGCCC
rnacentral:rRNA from 1 species